rnacentral:rRNA from 1 species
GAUGAACGCUGGCGGCGUGCCUAAUACAUGCAAGUCGAGCGAACGGACGAGAAGCUUGCUUUUCUGAUGUUAGCGGCGGACGGGUGAGUAACACGUGGAUAACCUACCUAUAAGACUGGGAUAACUUCGGGAAACCGGAGCUAAUACCGGAUAAUAUUUUGAACCGCAUGGUUCAAAAGUGAAAGACGGUCUUGCUGUCACUUAUAGAUGGAUCCGCGCUGCAUUAGCUAGUUGGUAAGGUAACGGCUUACCAAGGCGACGAUGCAUAGCCGACCUGAGAGGGUGAUCGGCCACACUGGAACUGAGACACGGUCCAGACUCCUACGGGAGGCAGCAGUAGGGAAUCUUCCGCAAUGGGCGAAAGCCUGACGGAGCAACGCCGCGUGAGUGAUGAAGGUCUUCGGAUCGUAAAACUCUGUUAUUAGGGAAGAACAUAUGUGUAAGUAACUGUGCACAUCUUGACGGUACCUAAUCAGAAAGCCACGGCUAACUACGU